CACUCAUGACAACAAGACCUGUGGUUUCAUGGCUGACAUAAUUUGAACAUAAUUCAUUGAAUAAUCACGGAUAUGACAAAAUUGGCUGCAUCAGAAAAUGCCAAAGCGAGGAUGCAAAGAAUAUAAAUGUGAGAUAUUAAUCAGCCAGUCAAAAAACAUAACCGAUCUACCGGAACCUGAAACCAGGGGAUUAUUUGUCAUUAAAGAAUGCAAUGUUGUUAUUUACAUUGGCCAAUCACAAGACUGUAUACGGGAGAGAAUACUAAGCCACUUAGGAGGCUAUGAUGCUCAAGACAUUGGUGAAUACCUGAAAGAUAUGGAUAGCGACGAAAAAGAUAGAAAUAUUUCAAUAGCUUGGGUAGAAAUCAUAAGACCUCGCUGUGAUGAACAUCACUAUAUCAAAUGCAUUGAAAAACGACAAGGGAAAUGGCCAAGGUUUAACAGAAAGCGUGGCAGACCUAAAAAGACGCCAUACAGCGCGAAAUCUUGACUUUUAUAUACAUAUAUACUAAAUAUCAGAAUAUUUGUUUAAAAAUGCUUCACAUUAGUUUUUGUCAUAAACGAUAAGAUUUGGAUAACGACAAAAAGAGAUGAAAAUUCAAAUAUCAUUAUUAGACCUAGCUGCAAUUUACAGAUGUAACCCUUUCAUUCGAUUCGCCCCCAAAUAAGGUAAACGUACUAUUCACACAUUAAUAGGGUUGUUUAGAUACCUAACUACCCAAGCUACUGAUGUAAGUUGGUUUAAAGUCAUUAUUGAUUAUAAGCUCAUUUAGGCCAUUGCAUUAAUAUCUUUUCACAUUUAAAAAACAAAUGCGUAUAUUGAAAUGUCAGCCGUAUUAGUUUUAUCGCAUUGUUAAUCCACCAUGUACUCAACAGAAAAAGUUAAGGACACCCAUUUGAAAUUUUCCAUUAAAAUUGUAUUACAGUUCCUCUGACUGUGCAAAUCAUGGACUUUAAAGUGAUACUUUUAAACAUAGUUUUCUUUGGUUAUUGACAACUGGUAUUAACGUAUUAAAGAGUAAUGUUCCUAUCGGAAUAUCUUCCUCGUAAAUGCAGUAAUGAUAGUCAAAUGGUGUAAGGAUCCACUGAAAUUAACAAAACAAUGUCAAUGCCUUACACAUAGGUCUUGCAGCAGGAAUCUUAAUAGGGGGUCUAGAAAGUUAACAAUUAUACGUCCCUAGUCGUUAGGUAAUAAAAGAAAAGCAUUCGUCAUAUAAAAAUUUAUUAAGUUUAAAGAAUUCAUUAUAUAUACACCAAGACGGUCACGUUAAUCUGUUAAUCUGCGUGAUUUAAAAAUACUUAUAGACUCAGGUCAACAUGUUUAUAAGUUAUACAAAUCAUUUAGGAAGGAAAAUACGUUUAGUUACUAUUUGUUUUCUUAGUUGUAAUAAGGAAAGUCACAAAAAUUGAAUAUUAUAUUGCAAUUCUCAAGCCCUGAUAUCAGAGAAACGGAUCAUUUAUAUUUAUCUAUGCUAAACUUUUAUGCACUUACCAAAUUCAGAUCGUUGAUAAGGAGAGUUAAAAAUAUACCCCAUUCUUGUAUAUUCAGUAGUACUUUAAUACCACAGAAAAUGUUUGUCAGAUUCUUUAUUUUGUUGCAUUUCUACGAUGAAACAGAGAACAGUAAGGAUCUUUCUAAAAGCCUCACAAAGUUUAUCAAAUAUAAAAAUAAGAAGAUGUGGUAUGAUUGCCAAUGAGACAACUCUCAACAAGAGACCAAAUGACAUAUAAGUUAACAACUAUAGGUCACCGUACGGCCUUAAAUAAAUAGCUUUUCCACACAUCAUAUGCAAAGAAAACGUUUUUGAAAGAAUCACCCCAUGCAAACUGCUUUUGCUGUAACAGACUGUCUUUAAUAUUUGUAUUACAAAAUGUUUUCUUUACCAAAAAUCAAAGGACAGGUACGAUAAAGCGAUUGAUCUAUUGACUGAAACUAAAUCAUGUACAGCAGUAUUACAUCAUAUAUAAUUUGAACAAUUCAAAUUUUGAUAGUUGGAUGAAAGGUUUUUUAGUUUUCAAUACCAAAACCUUGUUACUGGUUUAAUCAUAUUAUUGCCUGUAGAGUCCAUGUAAAUCCUUUCAAAGGCAUGCUUGUAUCGAAUAUAUUGAACUUGAAACUUGAAACUUGUCUUUAUGUAUUUCAAGUUAUCAAAUAAAAUCUUGAAAAAACUCCUGACCUAAAUUUUGAACAUAAUGUUUAUGUUGUAUACUUUUAUCAGAUCUAUAUACCAAUAUGACAGUACGUUUUAAAUCCAUCAACCUUUGACACUUAGUCUAGCAUACAAACAACAAAACUCCAUUACAUGUCUCCAAAUAUUUUAGAUUUGCAAGUUUAUUUGAUUUCGAACACAGAACUACUAAUAAUUAUAUGUUUGGAAUGCGCCGGAGCCUUCUGGCGCUUUAAAUUAAAUUCGCCGCAUCAUGUGAUUUGCACAAACAAUUCUUUUAUUCAUGACAGGUAUCACAUGAAAUUCUAUCAUUCUUCUUCGCCUAAAGAUAGUUAUAACAACAAUGGUAUAAAACAUUGAUUUCAUGAUAUAAUACAUGUAUUUUGUUUGCAUCAGUCAUGUAUGUUAAAAGGUAUGGCCAAUUUCCCCUGCGUUUGUUUCACACCAGGGACAUUUUCCAAUGGUCCUCCAAUCUUUACUUCGUAGAUUGAUAUGUAGUCGUUUGAAUCUUAUAGUUUUAUAUUUCCACUUUUGAUAAAAAUGGAGAUAGCUAUAUAUUUGAUAUCCAAGUGUUAUUUAUGGUCUAUCUCCCUAUAAAACUACUGGUAUAGUACGAGAUUUCUACACUCUAUACAACUACCGGUACAAUACCAGAUUUCUACACUGUAUACAACUACCGGUAUAAUAUGAGAUUUCUACAAUCUACGAGUUUUUGUCAGAAAUACACUGUUCUAUCUCCACACUCCCAUAAAAGCUUAUUCGUCUAGUAAGUUCAGAGAACAAUAUUUUUAUAAUGUUGUAUCUCCACUAUUUUUCAUGUAUUUUGCUGUUAACUAUUUUUUUAUCAAAAUCAUCUUAUGGGCAAUUCUUAGCAAAUUAAGCUGUCCAGAAUAGGGGAUAUUACACAGUUAAUAAAUCCAGGGUCUAUCUCCAAUAGAAAUAUAGGGAUGAAUUUCUAAAACAACAUUGCUUGUGAGAAGUGUUCUCUCUCUCCAAAAAGGGGAUGGUUUAUUUAUUUAAGUUGCUUGUCUUUUAAAAAAACAAUUGAACAAAGAGUAACUCUUUAUGUAUACGUAAAUUCGAUUCUUAUAUAACUUUUUAUCAUGUCUCAGUCAAAUAUUUAUGAUAUUGCACUUUUAAACUUCAUAUUCAAUUUCAAAACAGUUAGAAAAUGGAGAAAUACAUCAUUAUAAGAUUCACACGUGGAUGUGUAUAUGUUUGAACAACAUUUUGGCGUUAUUUCUGAACUUGUGACCAUAAUUAAAAUUUAUUUUGAAAUUAUUCCAUAUAUUGUCUUUCAGAAGAACUAGAAAUGUUUUGGUUAAUUUUAUCCUUCGAUUCAAAAUUUACAUAACCAUGUAAACCGGUCACUAAGGGUUGUCUUGGACAGUGUGAAAUUUUUGCUCAAUGUUGGAGACCCCGUUGUGAACCUGAGACUAGGAACAGCAAUACAAGCACUAUUUCUUAGCAGAAAAUAUAACAUUAAUAUUGAUUUCCUGGAAUACCAAUCUAUACUGCAUAUGAUACCGAAAGCUUGGAAAGAUCUAACUGCUUCAGAGAAAUAAAAUGCAUAUCAACUGAAAAAAUUGAAUUUAUUAAAAAUAAUAAAAAAGCAUGUCAAUUCUUUUAUAUAAAAAAAACUUUUCAAGGUAUACAGAAGGUCCUACAAAACAAGAAGAACAAAUGUGUAAAGAACUGAACACUCAUAUAGAAAAUUGAGAUUUCAUUUUUAGUUUAUUCUUUUGUUGUAAUAAAAACUACAAAUUUAGUAUGUUCCAGUUUAAAAUUUUACAUGUAACUCUUGCUACAAAUGCAUUAUUGUAUAAAUGUAGGUUAAAAAAACAAUUUAUGUAGUUUCUGUAAUGAAACUAAGGAAACUAUGGGUAAUCUUUCCUGUGAAUGUACUCCAGUUAGACAUUUAUGGAUAGAAAUUUCAGCACUCUUUCAAAAUAAAUGUAAUUUGACUAUGAUAUUAAAUGCAAAAGUAUUUGUUCUUGGGUCAGAGUCAUGGGAUGUAUUCACUGUUCUGGUUACAUGUCCUUUCAUUGUCAACUCUUACAGGUGCAAUUAGUAUUAUUAAAAAUACCUACCAAAUAGAAAAAAAAUAUCUACCUCCUCUUACAGAUCACCAAAAGCAAGAAAGUAAUUUGAGAGUUAAUGGAAAUGGACUAAAAACUUAGUUUAUAUGUGAGGAGAGAUAUAUCCGUUUGUAAUCAUCUAAGGCAUUAUAAUAAUUCAUGUAGAAUUAAUAAUAUGAUGCACAUCAUAAUUGUACAUUGGUUUAUGUGUAUUAUUGCAUUGAUAUCGAUUAUGUAUAUUGAUAUUGUUAUUAAUAUAGUUUUAUAUAUA